UACGUAGGUCCCGAGCGUUGUCCGGAUUUAUUGGGCGUAAAGCGAGCGCAGGUGGUUUAUUAAGUCUGGUGUAAAAGGCAGUGGCUCAACCAUUGUAUGCAUUGGAAACUGGUAGACUUGAGUGCAGGAGAGGAGAGUGGAAUUCCAUGUGUAGCGGUGAAAUGCGUAGAUAUAUGGAGGAAAACCGGUGGCGAAAGCGGCUCUCUGGCCUGUAACUGACACUGAGGCUCGAAAGCGUGGGGAGCAAACAGG
rnacentral:rRNA from 1 species